rnacentral:tRNA from 1 species
GCAUUGGUGGUUCAGUGGUAGAAUUUUGCCUGCCACGCGGGAGACCCGGGUCCGAUUCCCGGCCAAUGCA